GAGCCGUGUGUUGAAAACAAAGCGAACUAUUCUUUCGCCUUUUACUAAAGAAUACCGUGUUUUCUUCACUUAAAGCGGCAUAUGGCCAAUUUUUACAAGAGUUUUUCCUAUAUGGAAAAC
rfam:Glycine max cultivar Williams 82 chromosome 8, whole genome shotgun sequence.